CAGCCGCCACGGUAAUACGUAGGGCGCAGGCGUUAUCCGGAAUUAUUGGGCGUAAAGAGCUCGUAGGCGGCGAUCAAAGUCAGGCGUGAAAUUCCUGGGCUCAACCUGGGGGCUGCGCUUGAUACUGGGUUGCUUGAGUGGGGAAGAGGGUCGUGGAAUUCCCAGUGUAGAGGUGAAAUUCGUAGAUAUUGGGAAGAACACCGGUGGCGAAGGCGGCGACCUGGUCCUUUACUGACGCUGAGGCGCGAAAGCGUGGGGAGCAAACAGGAUUAGAUACCCGAGUAGUCCCUGUCUCUUAUAC
rnacentral:rRNA from 1 species